rnacentral:rRNA from 1 species
CAAUAGCGUAUAUUAAAGUUGUUGCAGUUAAAAAGCUCGUAGUUGGAUUUCUGGUGGGAGCGAUCGGUCUGGCGCUUAGCGCGAGUACUUGCAUCGUCUCCGGCCAUCCUUGGGGAGAGUCUGGCUGGCAUUAGGUUGUCGGGCAGAGGAUCCUCAUCGUUUACUGUGAAAAAAUUAGAGUGUUCAAAGCAGGCUUAUGCCGUUGAAUAUAUUAGCAUGGAAUAAUAAGAUAGGACUUUGGUACUAUUUUGUUGGUUUGCGCACCAAAGUAAUGAUUAAUAGGGACAGUUGGGGGUAUUCGUAUUCCGUUGUCAGAGGUGAAAUUCUUGGAUUUACGGAAGACGAACUACUGCGAAAGCAUUUACCAAGGAUGUUUUCAUUAA